GUGGGGUGACUGCGUACCUUUUGUAUAAUGGGUCAGCGACUUAUAUUCUGUAGCAAGGUUAACCGUAUAGGGGAGCCGAAGGGAAACCGAGUCUUAACUGGGCGUUAAGUUGCAGGGUAUAGACCCGAAACCCGGUGAUCUAGCCAUGGGCAGGUUGAAGGUUGGGUAACACUAACUGGAGGACCGAACCGACUAAUGUUGAAAAAUUAGCGGAUGACUUGUGGCUGGGGGUGAAAGGCCAAUCAAACCGGGAGAUAGCUGGUUCUCCCCGAAAGCUAUUUAGGUAGCGCCUCGUGAACUCAUCUUCGGGGGUAGAGCACUGUUUCGGCUAGGGGGUCAUCCCGACUUACCAACCCGAUGCAAACUGCGAAUACCGAAGAAUGUUAUCACGGGAGACACACGGCGGGUGCUAACGUCCGUCGUGAAGAGGGAAACAACCCAGACCGCCAGCUAAGGUCCCAAAGUCACAGUUAAGUGGGAAACGAUGUGGGAAGGCUCAGACAGCCAGGAUGUUGGCUUAGAAGCAGCCAUCAUUUAAAGAAAGCGUAAUAGCUCACUGGUCGAGUCGGCCUGCGCGGAAGAUGUAACGGGGCUAAACUGUGCACCGAAGCUGCGGCAGCGACGCUUAUGCGUUGUUGGGUAGGGGAGCGUUCUGUAAGCCUGCGAAGGUGUCCUGUGAGGGAUGCUGGAGGUAUCAGAAGUGCGAAUGCUGACAUAAGUAACGAUAAUGCGGGUGAAAAGCCCGCUCGCCGGAAGACCAAGGGUUCCUGUCCAACGUUAAUCGGGGCAGGGUGAGUCGACCCCUAAGGCGAGGCCGAAAGGCGUAGUCGAUGGGAAACGGGUUAAUAUUCCCGUACUUGGUGUUACUGCGAAGGGGGGACGGAGAAGGCUAUGUUGGCCGGGCGACGGUUGUCCCGGUUUAAGCGUGUAGGUGUGUGUUCCAGGUAAAUCCGGUUCACUUUAACACUGAGGCGUGAUGACGAGGCACUACGGUGCUGAAGCAACAAAUGCCCUGCUUCCAGGAAAAGCCUCUAAGCAUCAGGUAACAUCAAAUCGUACCCCAAACCGACACAGGUGGUCAGGUAGAGAAUACCAAGGCGCUUGAGAGAACUCGGGUGAAGGAACUAGGCAAAAUGGUGCCGUAACUUCGGGAGAAGGCACGCUGACACGUAGGUGAAGU
rnacentral:rRNA from 2 species